ACACAACUGUUAUUCUAGCUUUAGCAACGCAACUGUUCAAACCAUAUAUUUGGCCAAAUUUUAGCGUGAGUGUGUGUCAGUGUGGCAGUUACGGAAUACGAAAACAAUAGAAAAUAAAAAAAAAACUAAAAAAUAUUGCCAGAAACAAGAUAAAUAGUUCAUUCAUACUACUACAAGAAAAAUAUUCAGCUUAAAAUUAUAAUUAAAUAAAAUUAAAAAAAAAACGACAACGAGCUUCAAUACGAAAAAAAGUGUGAAAUUUAUCGAAUAAUUGGUGAAAUAUUUUACAAUUGCCAAAAAAUAAUACAAAAAAAAAAUAUAAAAAGAGAGAAGUGACAACGCAAAAAAGUGAUAAUUAAAAAAAAAACAAAAAUAUGAGCGAAUGACUUCAUUUAUUCUACUUUAUUUAUUAAAUAUAUACCGGUGUGUUUCGCUAUUAUAGACACAAUUCAAUACAAAACAUUUAUUUAUAAAUUUAUAAUAAUUAUUUUGAACUUUUGACACGCGGACGACGGAACUUUCGGGUCAUCGAUAUUUAUUGAUAUCAAAAAAUUGAUUUGGAUUAAACACGAAAACAGAUCGUCAAACAGGACAAACAUCAAUCUGUGAUAAAAAAUCAGAAGAAAAAAUCCAUAUUUUAUACGAAACUUCACUUUUGAACAUCCUAUCAGGCCUUCAUUGAUGAUGGCAAACAAUUAUUGACACGCUGACGAAGACAUAUUAUGGCAAUUGAAGAUCUAGCAGAUCAAGUUGAAGAUUACAUUUGUACAUUUGAAGGUUUCGGAGACAUCGCGAUGGAUUCCUUGGCUAUGUUUGUAUUUAUUUGGUCCCUUUUUGUCCUCAUCUCCAUCUGGCUCGGCAAAUAUUUGUACGCAAAGUACAUCAAAAAAGACGCUUCGGUCGAAUCAAGCACGAGUUCAAGCACAAUAUCCUCCGUGACAGCAAAAACAGCAACUUCCGUGUCGAGCAGUGCUCCAAUUCGCAAGUCGGAACCGCGUGAAAUUCAUCGAAAUGGCGCCGGAAUGAGUCGUGGCAUGUCCGCCACUCCAUCACGUGCUGAUACGCCACUCGCCAAUCAAGCACAACUCGCCCGCAAACGUUUAAGCAGAAAAAGUCCCGGACCCGAGUUGCGAACGAGAAAUCGUUAUACGCCAGUGCCGCAAAAUAUCAUGGGCGAAGAUUCAACCAACAUCACUUGGGUUACGAGAACGUUCCGAUGGUUGUACAGCGACUUGACGAUCGUUAAUGAACUCUUGCAAACAUGGACCACGGCGGUAAAUGACUUUAUCCGAAGUGAAUUGCGCAAAGAAGACAUCACGAUUGAAAUUGUGCGUAUUUUAUCGGAAACUGGUGCACCAAAUUUGGGCAAUUUGUACUGUGAACCUACCGGAAAUGCACAAGAAGUGUUGCUUACCUGCGAUUGCGACUGUAACGUCGUGUUCCAAGCCAAAACGUUCACCAACAACAACGACAAAGUCGAGGUUUCGCAUUAUAAAGUCACCGUUUCGCGUUUUAAGGCUCGUUUGGCAAUCGUGAUGAAUUAUAUUACCUUAAAGGGCAACAUGCGUAUCGAGGGCUAUCCAGAAAUUAAGUUGGUUAUCAAUAGUAUCGGCGCUAUCAAGCCAGGAAAGGAAGAAUCUACCGUUCAAGCUGCAAUUAAUGAGACUUUUGUCACUGCAUUGCGUGAAACUAUCUAUCCAAUUGACUUUUCAAUUUAUGCAACGUGUCCUCGUGGCAUGGAUAUGGAACCCAGUUAUGAUAGUUACUCAAUGACAACGUCAGAGGAGGAGUACAACAUGUAUAGAACUCGUUCCCCGACACUUUUAUCCUCAGUUUCUUCUAGUCGACGACUUCUAGUCAAAGUAGUUCGUGGCGAACAAAUUCUCGGUGCUAAAGAGAGUUAUUGCGUUGUAGAAAUGGACGAGCCGGCACAGAAAAAUCAAACAAACACAAAAACUGGCGAUAGUCCUUACUGGGAUGAACAUUUCUUGUUCAACUUGUCAGCAAAUUCCGCUGAAUUACUCUUCGAAGUAUACGAUACUCCCUUAAAACCGAAUGGUGCUCCGAAAUUCUUGGGUUUGGGUCUCGUUGGCAUCGAUGAACUCUCGAUAGGACUCGCAUCCACGCAAAUUCUCACGUUACAGCCACGCCCGUAUGAAACGGAAACCGUGCAUGGCUCCAUUACGGUAGAGUUUGUAUUUAUCGAAGGUGCGAACAUUGACGCAAAACGACCUGAAUUAGUGCCUAGAACAUUAAGACACGCUGCACAGUCACCAGCAUCGCCAGCACAUAACGAUUCCACUUUGAGAACUACAAAUAUAUCCCCAAUCAAACCCGAGCCCUACGAUCGUCGAAACCUCUAUAACGAUAACAAAUUAAAUGCUAUGCAAACGAAUGGAACUAAAGAGCCUUUAAUGACAUCCAAAGAUACUCAUGCCAAUACUAAUGCAAGUCGCAAUGCGAAUCAAUAUCAUCAGAAUGGUUUGCUUAGUCCCACACCCGUUAACUAUCAUAACUCAUCCGCAAGUACUAAUAACAACAACAACACAUUAUCGCCGUAUUCGGGAAAUACGCUGAACGGAGAUCACAAAAAUGAUGCCAGCAGCAAGUUAAUUCAUCAGGAACAGCAAAAGCAGGAACAAAAUAAUUUGGAUGACAGAGGACGUGCGAAGGCAAAGAGAAAUUUCUUUGGAAAUAUUAAGAAACGUUUGACACGUUCUAAAAGCAGAGAUCGCGACAAUUACAACAGCAUGGACUCGAGAUCAGCAUCUUCUGAUCGUCCCUCGACUUUACCUCUACCUCCUCGGAGUCAUACUGGGGGGUCACAAGGUGGUACCUUGCCGUCAAUGAAUUUAUCACGUCGAUCAUCUGUUUCAGAAUCGUCAAAUGUUUCGGGCUGGUCAAGUGCAUCCGCCAAGACAUUUGUCCACGAAUCAUCGACUCUCGUACUGGAAACUGUCGAAAAUGGUGUCAAAAGACACUUUUUAGUUCCAUUGGCUAUUGCACAACGACCACGAUGGAGGCGCAAGGGAACAAAAUUACACAUUUAUAACGAUCAUACUUUCAUCGCGAAGCAUAUUAGUGGUGGAGCAAUUUGUGAAGUAUGUAAUCGUUCGAUAAUGCGUCGUCCCGGCAAGCAAGGUUACGAAUGCCGAGACUGUGGACUUAAGUGUCAUAAGCCAUGUCAUGUUAAAACAGCACAAGUUUGCCAAAAAUCAACAAUUUUAUCAAUUGAAUUGUCUUCUCUACCAGUUUUACAAGAAAAUAACUUGUAACACAGAGAACAUGGUAGAAGCUCUAUCAAAAAAUCAAAAAUAUAUCAGAAAUGCUUCUUUUUUACUUAAAUUACAUUAAAAAAAUAAUAUAUUGUCAAUACUUAAUGGGAUGAGGGUUUUCUUGUGUAAGAUUCAAGUUAAAUGACGCCGAGAUGGAUCGCUAUACGCGUAAGCUUUAACAGAAAAUUUAUACUUUUAUACCUAUUUUGUGGAUAUUCAGCUUGAAAAUAAGAUAUGCAGCAAAGAUCAAAAACACAACAAGAAUAAAGAGCAUCGCGCACCACUGAACGCCGAAUGGAGAAGAACAAAACGUGAUGCCUUACGAAUUUUUUGCUAGACAAACGCAACAUUAAGGAACUUUGCUACUUAACUUUUGUUUUAAAUUUUAAUAAUUUUUUUUAUGCGGAACGGAGCCCGGUGUUGACACUUACUCUUAGUAUAUUUAUACUACUUUAAUAUAAUUUAUUGGUUCAAUUUAAUUUUUUCGAAUUUUACUUUAAAAAUUUUAUUUAUAGGAAUUAAUAGAUUUAAGUUGUUGACUACUGUAAACCACAAAUCGUGCUUUCUCAUCCAAAAUUUUUAUAAAAUCUCA